rnacentral:rRNA from 1 species
AUUGAACGCUGGCGGCAGGCCUAACACAUGCAAGUCGAACGGUAACAGGAAGAAUCUUGCUUCUUUGCUGACGAGUGGCGGACGGGUGAGUAAUGUCUGGGAAACUGCCUGAUGGAGGGGGAUAACUACUGGAAACGGUAGCUAAUACCGCAUAACGUCGCAAGGCCAAAGAGGGGGACCUUCGGGCCUCUUGCCAUCGGAUGUGCCCAGAUGGGAUUAGCUAGUAGGUGGGGUAACGGCUCACCUAGGCGACGAUCCCUAGCUGGUCUGAGAGGAUGACCAGCCACACUGGAACUGAGACACGGUCCAGACUCCUACGGGAGGCAGCAGUGGGGAAUAUUGCACAAUGGGCGCAAGCCUGAUGCAGCCAUGCCGCGUGUAUGAAGAAGGCCUUCGGGUUGUAAAGUACUUUCAGCGGGGAGGAAGGGAGUAAAGUUAAUACCUUUGCUCAUUGACGUUACCCGCAGAAGAAGCACCGGCUAACUCCGUG